rnacentral:rRNA from 1 species
AGAGUUUGAUCCUGGCUCAGGAUGAACGCUAGCUACAGGCUUAACACAUGCAAGUCGCGGGGCAGCAUGUUGGUUGCUUGCAACCGAUGAUGGCGACCGGCGCACGGGUGAGUAACGCGUAUCCAACCUACCUAUUACCACGGGAUAACCCGGCGAAAGUCGGACUAAUACCGUAUGUGGUCUUCAAGUGGCAUCAGCAGUAGACUAAAGGUUUGGCGGUAAUAGAUGGGGAUGCGUCCGAUUAGUUAGUUGGCGGGGUAACGGCCCACCAAGACAUCGAUCGGUAGGGGUUCUGAGAGGAAGGUCCCCCACACUGGAACUGAGACACGGUCCAGACUCCUACGGGAGGCAGCAGUGAGGAAUAUUGGUCAAUGGGCGUAAGCCUGAACCAGCCAAGUAGCGUGCAGGAUGACGGCCCUAUGGGUUGUAAACUGCUUUUAUGCGGGGAUAAAGUGAGGGACGUGUCCCUCAUUGCAGGUACCGCAUGAAUAAGGACCGGCUAAUUCCGUGCCAGCAGCCGCGGUAAUACGGAAGGUCCGGGCGUUAUCCGGAUUUAUUGGGUUUAAAGGGAGCGUAGGCCGCCUCUUAAGCGUGUUGUGAAAUGCGGGUGCUCAACAUCCGACUUGCAGCGCGAACUGGGGGGCUUGAGUGCGCCGAAAGUAGGCGGAAUUCGUGGUGUAGCGGUGAAAUGCUUAGAUAUCACGAAGAACUCCGAUUGCGAAGGCAGCUUACUGUAGCGCAACUGACGCUGAUGCUCGAAAGCGUGGGUAUCGAACAGGAUUAGAUACCCUGGUAGUCCACGCGGUAAACGAUGGAUGCUCGUUGUCGGCCUUUGAGGCCGGUGACCAAGCGAAAGCGUUAAGCAUCCCACCUGGGGAGUACGCCGGCAACGGUGAAACUCAAAGGAAUUGAC